AUGAACGCUGGCGGCGUGCUUAACACAUGCAAGUCGAACGAGAACGGUACUAGCUUGCUAGUAUGUCAGCUAAGUGGCGGACGGGUGAGUAAUGUAUAGUUAAUCUGCCCUUUAGAGGGGGAUAACAGUUGGAAACGACUGCUAAUACCCCAUACUCCUUUCUACUAAAUGUAGAUUGGGAAACGUUUUUUCGCUAAAGGAUGAGACUAUAUGGUAUCAGGUAGUUGGUGGGGUAAGAGCCUACCAAGCCAAUGACGCCUAGCUGGUCUGAGAGGAUGAUCAGCCACACUGGAACUGAGACACGGUCCAGACUCCUACGGGGGGCAGCAGUGGGGAAUAUUGCACAAUGGAGGAAACUCUGAUGCAGCAACGCCGCGUGGAGGAUGACGCAUUUCGGUGUGUAAACUCCUUUUAU
rnacentral:rRNA from 1 species